rnacentral:rRNA from 1 species
UACGAAGGGGGCUAGCGUUGUUCGGAAUUACUGGGCGUAAAGCGCACGUAGGCGGAUAUUUAAGUCAGGGGUGAAAUCCCAGAGCUCAACUCUGGAACUGCCUUUGAUACUGGGUAUCUUGAGUAUGGAAGAGGUAAGUGGAAUUGCGAGUGUAGAGGUGAAAUUCGUAGAUAUUCGCAGGAACACCAGUGGCGAAGGCGGCUUACUGGUCCAUAACUGAAGCGCUGAG